rnacentral:rRNA from 1 species
UACAGAGGUCCCAAGCGUUACUGAGAAUCACUGGGUUUAAAGGGUGCGUAGGCGGUCCGUUAAGUCAGUUGUGAAAUCCCCGGGCUCAACCCGGGAAAUGCUUCUGAUACUGGCGGACUUGAGGCCAGUAGGGGUCACUAGAACUGACGGUGGAGCGGUGAAAUGCGUAGAUAUCGUCAGGAAUGCCGGUGGUGAAGACGGGUGACUGGGCUGGUACUGACACUGAGGCACGAAAGCGUGGGGAGCGAACGGG